rnacentral:rRNA from 1 species
AUUGAACGCUGGCGGCACGCUUAACACAUGCAAGUCGAGCGGUAACAUGACUAGUAGCAAUACUAGUUGAUGACGAGCGGCGGACGGGUGAGUAACACGUAGGAACUUGCCCAGUAGUGGGGGACAACCAAGGGAAACUUUGGCUAAUACCGCAUAUUCUCGAGAGAGGAAAGCUGCAGAAAGGUGGCGCCAUUGGAGAGGCCUGCGUCCGAUUAGCCAGUUGGUGAGGUAAAGGCUCACCAAGGCGAGGAUCGGUAACUGGUCUGAGAGGACGACCAGUCACACUGGGACUGAGACACGGCCCAGACGCCUACGGGAGGCAGCAGUGGGGAAUCGUGGACAAUGGGGGCAACCCUGAUCCAGCGAUGCCGCGUGAGUGAAGAAGGCCUUCGGGUCGUAAAGCUCUUUAGGCUGGGAAGAAGGUUGGUAGUUUAAGAUAUAAUCAAUUUGACUGUACUAGCAGAAUAAGCACCGGCAAACUCUGUGCCAGCCGCCGCCGUAA